GACGAACGCUGGCGGCGUGCUUAACACAUGCAAGUCGAACGGUAAGGCUCCAGCUUGCUGGGGUACACGAGUGGCGAACGGGUGAGUAACACGUGGGUGACCUGCCCUGCACUUCGGGAUAAGCCUGGGAAACUGGGUCUAAUACCGGAUAGGACCGCACCGUGAGGGUGUGGUGGAAAGUUUUUUCGGUGUGGGAUGGGCCCGCGGCCUAUCAGCUUGUUGGUGGGGUAAUGGCUUACCAAGGCGGCGACGGGUAGCCGGCCUGAGUGGGUGGACGGCCACAUUGGGACUGAGACACGGCCCAGACUCCUACGGGAGGCAGCAGUGGGGAAUAUUGCACAAUGGGCGGAAGCCUGAUGCAGCGACGCCGCGUGGGGGAUGACGGCCUUCGGGUUGUAAACUCCUUUCACCAUCGACGAAGGGUUUCUGACGGUAGAUGGAGAAGAAGCACCGGCUAACUACGUA
rnacentral:rRNA from 1 species